GACGAACGCUGGCGGCGUGCUUAACACAUGCAAGUCGAACGGAGUGGCGAACGGGUGAGUAAAACGGGGGUGAAAUGCCCUGCACUUCGGGAUAAGCCUGGGAAAAUGGGUCUAAUACCGGAUAGUGUGGGAUGGGACCGCGGCAGAUCAGCUUGUUGGUGGGGUGAUGGCCUACCAAGGCGGCGACGGGUAGCCGGCCUGAGAGGGUGGACGGCCACAUCGGGACUGAGACACGGCCCAGACUCCUACGGUAGGCAGCAGUGGGGAAUAUUGCACAAUGGGCGGAAGCCGGAUGCAGCGACGCUGCGUGGGGGAUGACGGCCUUCGGGUUGUAAACUCCUUUCACCAUCGACGCGGUAGAUGGAGAAGAAGCACCGGCUAACUACGUGCCAGCAGCCGCGGUAAUUC
rnacentral:rRNA from 1 species